rnacentral:rRNA from 1 species
CCUACGGGUGGCAGCAGUAGGGAAUAUUGCUCAAUGGGGGAAACCCUGAUGCAGCAACGCCGCGUGAAGGAUGAAGGUUUUAGGAUUGUAAACUCCUGUUGUUAGAGAAGAUUAUUGCGGUAUCUAACGAAUCAGCCCCGGCUAACUCCGGUCCAGCAGCCGCGGUAAUACGGAGGGUGCAAGCGUUACUCGGAAUCACUGGGAGUAAAGGGUGCGGAGGCGGGGUAAUAAGUCAGAUGUGAAAUCCUGUAGCUUAACUACAGAACUGCAGUUGAAACUGGUACUCUGGAGUGUGGGAGAGGUAGGUGGAAUUCUUGGUGUAGGGGUAAAAUCCGUAGAGAUUCAGAGGAAUACCAAUGGCGAAGGCGACCUGCUGGAACAUAACUGACGCUGAGGCACGAAAGCGUGGGGAGCAAACAGGAUUAGAUACCCGUGUAGUC